UACGUAGGUGGCAAGCGAUACUCGGAAUCACUAGGCGUAAAGCGCAGGUAGGCGGUUGGAUAAGUCUGUUGUGAAAGCUCCCGGCUUAACUGGGAGAGGUCAACGGAAACUAUUCGGCUAGAGUGUGGUAGAGGUAGCUGGAAUUCCCGGUGUAGCGGUGGAAUGCGUAGAGAUCGGGAAGAACAUCAGUGGCGAAGGCGGUCUGCUGGGCCGUUGCUGACGCUGAGGCGCGACAGCGUGGGGGAGCAAACAGG
rnacentral:rRNA from 1 species